UCCAGACUCCUACGGGAGGCAGCAGUGGGGAAUAUUGGGCAAUGGGGGGAACCCUGAUCCAGCGACGCCGCGUGAGUGAAGAAGUAUUUCGGUAUGUAAAGCUCUCUCAGCGGGGAAGAAAAUGACGGUACCUGACUAAGAAGCCCCGGCUAACUACGUGCCAGCAGCCGCGGUAAUACGUAGGGGGCAAGCGUUAUCCGGAUUUACUGGGUGUAAAGGGAGCGUAGACGGCAUGGCAAGCCAGAUGUGAAAUACCGGGGCUCAACCCCGGGACUGCAUUUGGAACUGUUAAGCUGGAGUGUCGGAGAGGCAGGCGGAAUUCCUAGUGUAGCGGUGAAAUGCGUAGAUAUCAGGAGGAACACCGGUGGCGAAGGCGGCCUGCUGGACUGCAACUGACGUUGAGGCCCGAAAGCGUGGGGAGCAAACAGGAUUAGAUACCCCGGUAGUC
rnacentral:rRNA from 1 species